GGAAGGCAGGGCAAUCCAGGGGAGCUCAGGUGCACGCAAUGUACCUGAGUGACUGGAAGGGUGUAGCUGGGAUCUGCCCCUUCCCAGACCUCAUUUAAGGGUUGGCAGUGGAGGCAAGGGUAUUUUGCUGGAGUUUCCUCUGUACCUGAGGCCUUCUGAAGGUUGUGAAAAAUGGGACUUCGGUAACAAUGACGGAUUGGCCUACCUCAGUUUUGGCUAUGAGAGUAACAGAUUUUUUUUUCUUAUGUUCAGAUAGAAUGUGAGUGUUCCAAACUGUUCCCAGUAACUGCAGACCAGUUGGGUGGAGGCAUAUAGAGCUGCCAAAUGUAUCAACCUCUUUUCAGCCUCAGCUGAAAGAACUCCUGUUAUAUACAUGAUUUAUUUCAGUGAUAAUUUACUUCUGCUACACACACAAAGUACCUUUAUGUGGUCCUGUUGAUAUCUAAUAACCAG
ensembl:lncRNA